rnacentral:rRNA from 1 species
UACGGGGGGGGCAAGCGUUGUUCGGAAUUACUGGGCGUAAAGGGCUCGUAGGCGGCCAACUAAGUCGGACGUGAAAUCCCUCGGCUUAACCGGGGAACUGCGUCCGAUACUGGAUGGCUUGAGUUCGGGAGAGGGAUGCGGAAUUCCAGGUGUAGCGGUGAAAUGCGUAGAUAUCUGGAGGAACACCGGUGGCGAAGGCGGCAUCCUGGACCGACACUGACGCUGA